UCAUCAGGUGGGAUAAUCCUUACCUGUUCCUGGUUUUGGAGGGCACAUAGCACAUGAUAUAUGGAGUUUGCAUGAUCCAUGAUUAAUGUCUUUGUAUAAUCAGGACUUGCAAACCCUGAUUGUUUGUAUCUGAU
rnacentral:snoRNA from 1 species